rnacentral:sRNA from 1 species
AGUAAGCUGCGUUAAGGAUUGAAAUGGCAUCCUUUUUAUGCUGAACUCGUUUCACGUAUCAUUUAGAUUAGUAAAUUGUUCUUGAUAUAAAAGACGGUUACUGAAUUAAAUUGAGCAUAAAAAGAUACAAUGGAAAGCCUGUUUAAAC